GUUAUGUUAAUCCUAACCCCCGUUUGGACGUAGGGUUAUGGAAACCCUAGUUUUAGGGUUUCCAUAACAUGGGUUGUGCCCUCAAAAUCUUCCAUUCUGUCUGCCGAUUUGUCUCCCUCGUGGUUCUCCUUCAACCCAUGUUAACCCAUCUCAUUCAACCCGUGCUCCCAUUUGAUCCCUCCUUCCCCUUCGAUUCCGAUUUCAAUUCUUCUUUCUUCUUCUUCUUCUUCUUUCUCCUUAUUUUCCUUCGGUUCCGAUUUCACUUCCUUUUGGUUGCGGUUUGGUCUUCGAUUUCGAUUUCGAUUCCAAUUCUGAUUUAUGAGGAGAAGGCAUGUGACUUGCUCGGGGAACUGAUUAAUGGCGGCGAUUCGAGUAUCAGUCAAAUUUUUUAUUGUAAUGUUAACCCCACUUCUCAAAGAUGAAAAAUAGAGGAAAUUGUAGGAAGUUUUCCCCUGCCAUUGCUGGGCUUAAGCAUUUGACGGACCUUUAUUUGCAUUACAACUCGUUGUUUGGAGAUAUUCCUAGAGAGAUUGCUAACUUGACUCUGCUUUCUGGUUUGUAUUUGAAUGUUAAUAAUUUUUCUGGGGAGAUUCCUUCUGAGAUUCCUUCUGAGCUUGCAAGUUUUGCCUUUCUUAUAAUCAGCUCAGUGGAAGCAUACCUACACAGCUUUCAUCUCUGAAGAAGCUUAUUGUUAUUGUUCUCCAAUCUAAUCAGUUAACUGGUACAAUCUCUGCAAGCUUGGGAUGUUUGGACUUGUUAGUGAGACUAGACUUGAGCUCCAAUCAUCUGUUUGGUUUCGUUCCUUGAAGGCUCGUUGAUGUGCCUUUGCUUGAAGUUCUUGAUGUUCGAAACAAUACCCUCUCUGGCAAUGUACCUCCUGGUACCAAUUGAUCUUUAAACCAUUUUAUAAGGAAGAUGUACUUCUUAUUUUUUGUGUUCUGUUCAUUUUUGUUUUCUUUUACAUGAAGCUAACUAGAACAUUGUUUUGCUUUUGUGUUGGAUGUGAUGAAGCUUUGAAGAUACUAAAUGAAGGAUUCUUGUAUGCUAACAA